GUGAGGAAUUUUCCGCAAUGGGCGAAAGCCUGACGGAGCAAUGCCGCGUGAAGGAUGAAGGCCUAUGGGUUGUAAACUUCUUUUCUCAGAAAAGAAUUAUGACGGUAUCUGAGGAAUAAGCAUCGGCUAACUCUGUGCCAGCAGCCGCGGUAAGACAGAGGAUGCAAGCGUUAUCCGGAAUGAUUGGGCGUAAAGCGUCUGUAGGUUGUUUAAAAAGUAUUCUGUCAAAGAUUAGGGCUUAACCCUAGAUAGGCAGAAUAAACUUUUAAGAUAGAGUUUGGUAGAGGCAGAGGGAAUUCCCGGUGGAGCGGUGAAAUGCGUAGAUAUCGGGAGGAACACCAAAGGCGAAGGCACUCUGCUGGGCCAAUACUAACACUGAGAGACGAAAGCGAGGGGAGCAAAUGGGAUUAGAUACCCCUGUAGUCC
rnacentral:rRNA from 1 species